rnacentral:rRNA from 1 species
UACAGAGGUCUCAAGCGUUGUUCGGAUUCAUUGGGCGUAAAGGGUGCGUAGGCGGCGCGGUAAGUCGGGUGUGAAAUCUCGGGGCUUAACUCCGAAACUGCAUUCGAUACUGCCGUGCUUGAGGACUGGAGAGGAGACUGGAAUUUACGGUGUAGCAGUGAAAUGCGUAGAUAUCGUAAGGAAGACCAGUGGCGAAGGCGGCUCUCUGGGACGGUACUGACGCUGAGACGCGAAAGCGUGGGGAGCAAACAGG